ACGGGGGGAGCAAACGUUGUUCGGAAUUAUUGGGCGUAAAGGGCGCGUAGGCGGUCGAGUAAGUCUGACGUGAAAUCCCUUGGCUCAACCAAGGAACUGCGUCUUAAACUGCUCGGCUUGAGUCCGGGAGAGGGUAGUGGAAUUCCCAGUGUAGCGGUGAAAUGCGUAGAUAUUGGGAGGAACACCGGUGGCGAAGGCGGCUACCUGGACCGGUACUGACGCUGAGGCGCGAAAGCUAGGGUAGCAAACAGGA
rnacentral:rRNA from 1 species